rnacentral:tRNA from 1 species
GGGAUAUAGCUCAGUUGGUAGAGUGUUUGCCUUGCAAGUCCCUGGGUUCAAUUCCCAGCACCACCA